rnacentral:rRNA from 1 species
UACGAGGGGUGCAAGCGUUAUUCGGAAUCAUUGGGCGUAAAGGGUGCGUAGGCGGCGCGGUAAGUCGGGUGUGAAAUCUCGGGGCUUAACUCCGAAACUGCAUUCGAUACUGCCGUGCUUGAGGACUGGAGAGGAGACUGGAAUUUACGGUGUAGCGGUGAAAUGCGUAGAUAUCGUAAGGAAGACCAGUGGCGAAGGCGGGUCUCUGGACAGUUCCUGACGCUGAGGCACGAAGGUCAGGGGAGCAAACGGG